rnacentral:misc_RNA from 1 species
GGCAAUCUCUUCUACUUUUACGGUAAUUGUGCAUUCAACUCUAUUAGUAAAGCUUUGCUUAGCUUCAUUUAUUACUUCUCUUUCUUGCUCAGUUAUGAUAUGUUUUCAGCUCUAAUAAAAUCUAUGCUAUUUGGUGUUUUUGUUAGCAAUUUGUAUGCUUUGAGUUCAUCUUUAUUCAGGAAGAUGCUUUAACUUGACAUCUUAUAUCUGCAUAAAGCUUGUGCAAUGUUGCUAUUUCAGAAAUGUACCUCCGCCUCCACCACCACCACCACAACCCCCACCACCCCACCCACCCCCCGCCCGCCCCGCCGCCACGGGGCCAACGGAAAAAAACCCACACCCAGCCUUUCCAUGCCUCUCCUUCUGUCCUUUUUUCUUAUUAUUUCUCAUACCCUCACUGAAAUUAAGUAGGCAUGAAAGAGGUGGAAAAGUAACAGCUUGAAGAGGAAAGAAAAAACAAACAUAUUUGUUUAUAUGCGGGUGUGGUGAGGGCACUGCUAAUAGUUCUUUUAUAUUUCUUUAUUUAAUCAAUUUAUAGUGUCCAUAUUUAUUGUCCUGUAUGAAACUAAGCAAAGAUUUAAAACUGUGGGGGUGUUGUUUAGCGUCACUUGCUAUUGCAAUGAAUAUGUAUUCCUUCUAGUUAUUUAUGAAGGCAAAUCAUAGUUGUCAACUUAAAAAUGCAGCUGAAAUUCAUCAGGCGUGCCCCUUAAGCCAGGCACAAGGUGUGCCUCACUAACACUUUUCCUGCAUCUGUUUUUCCUUUUUUUUUUUCUCCUGCAAUGUUGUUUCAUUUUUAUAUUCUCUAGUGUUUAUUUGACCAUAUAUUAUAUGAGCUUUAACAUAUUCUUAUGCACACCAAAUCAAAUUAAAGCUACAAAAACAAAGAAGCCAUCAUUAGAUGAGCAAGCAGAGCUGUUAUACAUAAGGGGUAAUAAAUCAAGUUGGUGCUGGUUAGGUUUUCUCUAUGUACAACUAGGCUCUCUCUCUCUCUCUCUC